ACUUGAGUGCAGGAGAGGAGAGUGGAAUUCCUAGUGUAGCGGUGAAAUGCGUAGAUAUUAGGAGGAACACCAGUUGCGAAGGCGGCUCUCUGGACUGUAACUGACGCUGAGGCACGAAAGCGUGGGGCGCAAACAGGAUUAGAUACCCUGGUAGUCCACGCUGUAAACGAUGAGUACUAGGUGUCGGGGGUUACCCCCUUCGGUGCCGCAGCUAACGCAUUAAGUACUCCGCCUGGGAAGUACGCUCGCAAGAGU
rnacentral:rRNA from 1 species